AUUGAACGCUGGCGGCAGGCCUAACACAUGCAAGUCGAGCGAGCGGCGGACGGGUGAGUAAUGUAUGGGGAACUGCCCGAUAGAGGGGGAUAACUACUGGAAACGGUGGCUAAUAACGCAUACUAUCCGAUGAACCCAUAUGGGAUUAGCUAGUAGGUGGGGUAAAGCCUCACCAAGGCGACGAUCCCUAGCUGGUCUGAGAGGAUGACCAGCCAAACGGGGACUGGGACACGGCCCAGACCCCUACGGGAGGCAGCAGUGGGGAAUAUUGCACAAUGGGCGCAAGCCUGCUGCAGCCAUGCCGGGUGUAUGAAGAAGGCCUUAGGGUUGUAAAGUACUUUCAGCGGGGAGGCGUUACCCGCAGAAGAAGCACCGGCUAACUCCGUGCCAGCAGCCGCGGUAAUAC
rnacentral:rRNA from 1 species